ACUUUCGUUUCUAAUAGGCAGCUUCCGGUGUAGUCUUAAUCAUUAAGUCGCUUAUUCGUAAGUAAAAACUUUAUGAUCCAAACUUCCCGAUGAUAUAGACGAUACUAGUAAAAAUGGAGUCGAUGGAAAUUUUGGACUUAAAACGAAUCAAAAUGUCUGCUGUUUCGAUUUGUAUCCGCCAUGGAACCCUGUUAAUUCUACCGUGGACUAUAAUUGAGAGUUUUUCCAAUGGAUGUUUUUUGUUAAACCUGUAUGAGGGCGCGAAAUCGAUAAAAUUCGAUUGGGAAAGUUGGACCUCCCCAGAAAAAUUACUUGGUGCCUUCGUUUCUUUGUCAGUUGGCAAACACAAGAACAGUUUGGACGCCGCGAUUUUAACCAUUAUAAACUUGCGGGGUUUAACGAUAACUGCUGUGCAUUCAGGACUUUCUUCUUAACUGUGAAGAAAUGCGGUCCCAGUAACUGUCGGAUAUGAUUGGCCCCAAGAUUGCAUAAUGAUAUCUCUAGCCAGUUACACAACUUUCCUGAUCCAGUGCCAGGAGAAGAAGGACACUACAAGGAGUUCAGUGAGGUUUUUGAACCAAUACUACAGAGGAACACUGUCCUUCUUUAUCAUCAAAAUGAGCACAACCAACUGCAAGCAGACAUGGAAUUCCAUUUAGUCUAUCUGCUCAGACUGCCAAAACAGUGAAACAAAUGGGAACCUGCAUAGAUUGCCAGAAACCCAGAGUCUUAUAAGUUAUAUAGUGCUACUAAACUUGGUGCCCAAGAAAGUACCUUGCUUACAAAAAAUCAUUGGACUUUAUCAGUUUUCAAGUUGAUCUGAACUUCAGGAAUUAAAACCUGAUAAUCCUGAGAAAGCACCCUCAAUAUGCGCCCCAUUGUAGAAAGUUUAUAUGAGAUCAAACUCCAAUUGAGACCCCCUACUACAUGUACAGCUCUGGUGUAUUUCCCCCAAUAUGCUAUCACUGUUGGACACAAGACACAGAUACAGAAGAAGGACAGUACCCAAUAUGUCAUGAUUGUGUUGUUUCACAACGACAGCUUUGUAAAAACGGAAGGAUGUUCAAAGCUCCAGAGCAAAGAAGCAG
rnacentral:sRNA from 1 species